rnacentral:sRNA from 1 species
UUUAUACUUUGGCUUCAAGUUCCGUCCUCUCUUUUUUCUUGUCGAUCAUAUUUCUUCCCCUUUCUCAUAUUUCCGCAACAAGUUUAGACUUUAGUUCAAUUUUCAUAAUGUUCGUUAUUCGUUUCCUCAUUCUGUAAAAUAAAGUCCUGCAAUAUGCUGUACGUACGUACAAGUAUAAUUUGCAUCUUUACUCAACAUAUACGCUAUGCCCACCGCUUUGUCUCGUUGCGCUGAAGCAUCUAGUUAGAUCUCUAUAGGCGUUAAUUGGUUUCCUGAACUCCCCAGUCCCCACACAACAGUCAUCGUCGGCUCCCUCGAGUUCCGGUCCCCGUAUUCACUGGUAUACAUUCUUCAUUCUCGAUCAAUGAAUUAUUGAUGCUGGCUCCUCCUGAGUAUAUGAUACUAUUAUCUCGCGAUGGUGAUAUCAUUUCGAGCACUGGCUGAGACCCAGUUUUGUUCACGUUGACAUCAUUGAAUGCUUCAGAAUCAUAGACAGGUACUGGUAUUCCGAGAGUGCGUUGGCUACCGGUAGGCUGAAGCACAAAAGAAAGGUGACGGUCGACUGCUGAAUGAUCCUCAUGAUCGGGAGUUUUUGCCACAGAGGUGAGUAAUCGCCUGUGUUAUUACUUCUCACCUGGAUGAAGGAGUUAAAAGUGGGCCGUAACCACGCACCGACGUAACAUGUCAGAAGAGUAGUAGUAGUACUCGUUCUUUUUCUUCCCUAUUCUGAUCUACGCAAAUCAAACGAUUUUCGGCCUUGACGUCCUUCAUUCUUCGGUUGAUGUUCACUAACAUGUAAUAGGUAUAUGGCAAUAACAAAUGAAAGAUAUGUAUGUCCAACUUAUCACCCUCUUUUCUUCUUCAUCUUAGCUACGUAAUUAGUUAUUACUCCUCAAGUAUAGAUCCAUUGUCUAUCAUCACAAUGUCCUUAUUAUAGGCUACAGCAGCCUAACUGUACAUGAUAUUUUAACAAUAGGACCCCAUUGACAAAGAUUAUUUAGAUACAUUUAUUAUUUCUACAAAAGCAGCGGUAAUAAUAAUACGACCAAAACUCCAAAACUCCAGAAUUCCAAGUAUGGCAAACGCUCAUUAUUCUAUGCCACCAGGCGGACACCCCGUGCCAUAGAAGAGUACAUUAUUGUAUAACAUAGCACACAUGUAGCCAAUAUCU